rnacentral:rRNA from 1 species
CGCAAGCCUGACGGAGCAACGCCGCGUGUGGGAAGAAGGCUCUUGGGCUGUCAACCACUUUUCUCAGGGAAGAAGCCCUGACGGUACCUGAGGAAUCAGCCUCGGCUAACUCCGUGCCAGCAGCCGCGGUAAUACGGAGGAGGCAAGCGUUAUCCGGAAUUAUUGGGCGUAAAGCGUCCGCAGGGGGCACAUCAAGUCUGCUGUUAAAGGCUGGAGCUUAACUCCGAUAGAGCAGUGGAAACUGGUGUGCUAGAGGGCGACAGGGGUAGAGGGAAUUCCCAGUGUAGCGGUGAAAUGCGUAGAGAUUGGGAAGAACACCGGUGGCGAAAGCGCUCUACUGGGUCGCACCUGACCCUCAGGGACGAAAGCUAAGGUAGCG